CAUUUUUUUAAGUUUAGAGAAUUUUUUUCCAUAAACUAUCCCCUCAGCAGGCAAUUUUUUUCUUUUUGUGAUAUUAAUCAAGAUUGACUAAAGUAUGUAUUUGCUCACUGUAAUGGAGAGUGGAAAAGCUAAUAUCUGAAAAUAAUAGCUUUCAUAGUAAAAGACGAGCUCAGGCAAGAAAAUAUGUAGAUAAAAGGUUUGUGAGUAGGUAAGUACCGACACUAUUGAACACACUUUUCCCCAAAAUCUCCUGCAAUGGAAGAGAUGGAUAAAAUCUACAGUGCUUAACCCAUCAAGUCGCAAUUUCAGUUUAUGGACAAGUGUCUUGGAUUACAUGGAUGUCCAGUAUUACCACCUCAGUGACAUCAUCCUGAUAGAUGCCAUCAAGAUUUCUCAACGAUUGUAACAGACUUGGAACUGUGUUCUCAAAUUCUCACCUUAGGACCUAUCAUCUCUUCUCCUUUCAAGUUCGCUGGUGGCAGAGGUCUGUUUAGGUGAAAGAUGACAGAGAAUUAGGCUUAUUUAUUUAAGUGUGAGUGGAGGAGUGGCAAAGAGGGAGACAG